rnacentral:rRNA from 1 species
CCUACGGGUGGCAGCAGUGAGGAAUAUUGGUCAAUGGACGAGAGUCUGAACCAGCCAAGUCGCGUGAAGGAUGACUGCCCUAUGUAUUGUAAACUUCUUUUAUAAAGGAAUAAAACGAGGCACGUGUGCCUGUUUGCGUGUACUUUAUGAAUAAGGAUCGGCUAACUCCGUGCCAGCAGCCGCGGUAAUACGGAGGAUCCGAGCGUUAUCCGGAUUUAUUGGGUUUAAAGGGAGCGUAGAUGGGUUGUUAAGUCAGUUGUGAAAGUUUGCGGCUCAACCGUAAAAUUGCAAUUGAUACUGGCAGUCUUGAGUACAGUUGAGGUAAGCGGAAUGCGUGGUGUAGCGGUGAAAUGCAUAGAUAUCACGAAGAACCCCGAUUGCGAAGGCAGCAUACUAACUUGUGACUGACAUUGAUGCUCGAAAGUGUGGGUAUCGAACAGGAUUAGAUACCCGAGUAGUC